GUUUAGUAUUGUGUGAUACAAAAGCAUUACUGAUAGUAUUUACAUUAAUAUAUUUAUGUUAAAAAUAGUUGAAUUAGUUAGUGUAGUGAUGCGGUGUAAAAACUGACGAUUGCUGUACAUUCUGUUUCAUAUUUAGGUGCCUUUUUGUGAUGCACCUUAGAGAAAGUGCCCAAUCUGCCCGGUCCCAAAGUUGGUCUACUCCGUCAGCAAGUCCGUCACCACCACCCCCGCCACUUCCACCGCCGGUAAUUAAUAGAUGGGCUCGAGCAGAACGUAACAGUGGGGAAUUGUGUCCCCACUGCAGGGGGCACAUUGCAUCUCUUCCAACGAGAACAACGUCUUUAAGCAGUUACUCCAUUUGCAAAGAUAGAACAACACCCAUAUCCCGUCUGCCGGAAGAUGAAGAUUCAUUUCCUGUCCUAUGCGAUCGAGAAUUGCAUUCGUUGCACAGAAAUAUCCCGGCGUUGCGACGAAGGGAUGUAGACACUGCCACCAUAAAACAACACUACUAUCCCGAAGGAGGAUGGGGAUGGUUAGUUUGUGGUGCUGCCUUUUUGGCUUACCUACUUACAUCAGGUUUUCAACUAGCUUUUGGCCUUCUAUACCUUUAUGUGAUAAAGUUCCUUAUCAAAGAACAUAUGAAUAAACAAUUUUAUUCUAUGGCAACAGCCUGGAUGGGUGCUAUGUGUUUAAGCAUUUCGUUCCUGAUAGCACCCUUCGUGGUUGCCGUAUCCAGAAGAAAAUCGACGAGAUUAGCGGCCGUAAUGGGAGGUCUAUUGAUGGCCUUGGCCUGCCUAUUUACUUCUUUCGCGGUGCAGUUCCAUCAGGCUCUUUUAAGUUAUGGCGUCGUAUUAGGUGCAGGGGCUGGAAUUGUUAGGGAAACGUCAGGAUUAGUUUUAGGACACUAUUUUAAGAAACGAAGAGAAUUUGUGGAGAUGGUUGCCCAAUCGGGAACAGGAGUGGGAAUGGCCUUAUUCUCCGUACUGUACAAAGAGGCUGUCGGAAAAUUAGGAUGGAGACUAGGGCUUCAUUCGGUUACGGGACUUUUAGCGUUAGCCUUCUUCCUACCUAUUGUUUAUCGCUCUGCGAAUUUGUAUCAUCCACAACGAAGGGCAAUAAUGCAUCUCAAAAACCAAAGAAAGAAAAUGAAAGAGAAAAAAACUCACGCCAAAGGAAAGAAACCGGCAAUGUUCGAUUUUACCCCGCUUAAGAGUAGGGGACUUCGAGUUCUUUUGGUUGCUAGUGCUACAGGAUCUUUAGGGGUUUAUAGUCCAAUUUUUUAUUUGGCUUUGCAAGGCCACGACGAAGGAUUGGAAGACAGUGCCCUAGUCUUGUUGCAGACAUUUCUAGGGUUCGCAACAGCUUUAGGAUUUGUAGGUUUCGGACUCAUAAUCGUUCGACCAAACACUCAGUGUCUUAUAUCGCGACAGUAUCUGUGUCAAACGUCGCUAAUUGGCAUAGGUAUUUCUCUUCUGGCCCUAAGCGCUGUUCAGGGCUAUCACGGUUACGUAUUAUUUGUAUGGUUGUAUGGCGUUUGUCUUGGAGGCUUCGAUUACUCCCUUAAAAUGUUUACAUUGGAACGAAUUCGUACACGUCACUUUACCAAAGCUUGGAGCUUCGUUCAAGGCGCCAAAUCCGUGCCUGUGCUCAUCGGGAUUCCGAUAACGGGUUACAUGAACCAAAUACAUCCCAAAGCUGGUUACUAUUUCAGCUUCGGUACAACUCUAGUCAGUGCAAGUCUCAUGUUCUUGGUAGGUCAUCGUAAGGACUCUAGCAAUGGAAACUACAGUUUCAGCCCAAAAAUGAACGAGUGCAUUUGCAAUUUGAACAACCACUACAUCACAGAGGUGCCCUAUAAUGUAUAUAGACCACCGCCACUCAACCAGUACGAACAGUUCCUCCCCAGUUACGAUCAUUUGGACAGAAGCAGUUUUUGUAGACAUUCGUCCAUGAAGCAUCGAUACGAUCGACCAGUAGUUCGACAUUGUUUACCAAAGAGCCAAAGCUACGUGGCCAAUAUACACCAUUCAGCUCAUCCCAGUAUGAUUUGCCUGAACAGAAGCCCGGGAGUUACGUAUCCCCACAAGUAUUCGCAUGGAAAUUUGAGAGCCACCAGAAGUGUUCCUGAGGGAUUAGCGAGAUGGAGCCAUUAUGGAUCUUGUCGUAGACCUAUUAUACGGGAUGUUCAUGUUAUAGAACAAAUUACUACUUCUGUUUAGGUGAUUAUUCUGAUAUGUUCUUAACCAUUCGUAUUCAUAUAGUUACACAGCUUUCUUGUUAAAAAUCUGUCAUUCUUAAGAAACCAAUUAAACAGGUUUUAUACAUCAGGUAAAUUUUAACACUCAUUUUUUUGAAAAUUUAUUACAACUCUUUAAAAUAAAUAAUGUAUCAAGUGGUCAGCUAAAAUUAAAUUUAUAAAUUAAUACUUAUGUGUUAAUUAUCCCUAUUAAUUCUUUUCUUUUGCUGUUUAUUAAAGAGUUUGAUAACUGCCAGAAACCUCUGCCAUUUUUUGGUACCCAUACGAGAAAAGGAGAUCCGUACUUUUUGAGCUUUGCAUGCUUAUUUACUUAGCUUUCUAUCUACAUUGAAAUGGUAAAUCUAAAACAUCUCCCACCUUGGGUUGUCUCCAAAGAGCAUUUUGAAGAUUUUGACGUAUUGAAUAAUGUGAUGCAGCAGCUGAACCAAACAAAAAUGGCUUGUAAGUAUAAAAAUCCGACUUGUCAGAAUGAGUUUCGUACCUAAAAGGUAUUAAAAAAAAUACAAUGAAACAGUCGAACA
rnacentral:misc_RNA from 1 species